rnacentral:rRNA from 1 species
AACGAACGCUGGCGGCAUGCCUAACACAUGCAAGUCGAACGAGACCUUCGGGUCUAGUGGCGCACGGGUGCGUAACGCGUGGGAAUCUGCCCUUGGGUUCGGAAUAACAGUUGGAAACGACUGCUAAUACCGGAUGAUGACGUAAGUCCAAAGAUUUAUCGCCCAGGGAUGAGCCCGCGUAGGAUUAGCUAGUUGGUGGGGUAAAGGCCUACCAAGGCGACGAUCCUUAGCUGGUCUGAGAGGAUGAUCAGCCACACUGGGACUGAGACACGGCCCAGACUCCUACGGGAGGGAGCAGUGGGGAAUAUUGGACAAUGGGCGAAAGACUGAUCAAGCAAUGCCGGGUGAGUGAUGAAGGGCGUAGGGUUGUAAAGCUCUUUUACCCGGGAUGAUAAUGACAGUACCGGGAGAAUAAGCCCCGGCUAACUACGUG